rnacentral:pre_miRNA from 1 species
AGGAGGAACAACCGCAGUGGCGGGGUCAGCUCUGGAGCCCCAGAGUCAGCUUCCACAGUAACUCCGGAGCUCUCGGUCUGCAGGGCCUGGAGGCUCCGGGGCGGG